GGUCGGGUGGCCGAGUGGUUAGGCAGAGGUCUGCAAAACCUUGUACGUCAGUUCGAAUCUGGUCCCGACCU
rnacentral:tRNA from 1 species